rnacentral:lncRNA from 1 species
UAGCCCUGGCUGUCCUGGAACUCACUAUGUAGACCAGGCUGGCCUCGAACUCAGAAAUCCGCCUGCCUCUGCCUUCCAAGUGCUGGAAUCAAAGGCGUGCACCACCACCGCCCAGCUAACUUUACUGUUUUAAUUUGCAACCUAUAUAGACCUUAAUUUUAAGAUGUGGGAGUUGUAUAGAUAGCAAAUUGUUAGUUCAUAUUAUUUAUCUAGAAUGACCUUUAGACUGAAGUGUUUGUUCCCAGUUGAUGCUGUUGUUGUUAUGGUAGGAUUCAUGUGUACCACUUCCUUUAAUCUUUGGUCUUGCUGUUUCCUAAUCUUCUUCUUUGCUAUUAAAUGGAUACUUGUUUUCUACCAAUUUCUUAUUUAAAUUUUUUUUCAGUGUCUUGAGAUGAGAUCUUGCUGUGUUUCCAGACUAGUCUCAGACUCCUGGAUUUAAAUCACUCUUUUGUCUGCCUCCUGAAUAGCUGGGAUUAUAGACAGGUCUGUAGUGCUACAUGUAACUGUAAAUUUGAAAGAUCUUAGCAGGCAUGUUAACCUGUAGCGUCUUUGUCCAGUAAAGUAGUGCCUGGUACUUAGAUCAGAACGGUCAUACUUCUGCAGUAGAGACUGCUAUUUCCAGUUUGUUGAGACCAUGUUGUCAUGUGUCUGUUUCCUGUACUUCCCUGGUCUUUGGGUUGCCUCUCCCUUCUAUUGAGCUUUUUAAUCAGUAGGCUGACAUAAAUCAUUUCAGCACAGUUUUUAUUUAGUCGGUUCUUUCACUAAAUUCUUGGCAUAACUUGAUGUACUGACAUCAGGAAGACGAAAUGAAACAAAAUUCUGGUGAUGCAGGGUUCAUGGAGAGAGCGUGAAGUUCUCUGGAGGUUAGAAGUAGAAGAGGAAGAGGAGGUUGAGGGUGGAAAGAAGCAGAGCAGCCUAGUGUUUCCCUUGUGCUGUUUAGUUCUUAAUCUUCAUGUGAGUUAUCACAGGUUGUGCUGCCAGGUCUGACUGGUAGUCAUCAUCCUGCCAGGGCCUGGUGAUAAUGGCUGGAGGUGCAGAGUGAAACUAACUGGCUUACAACGUGAGAUUGAGAGUGGAAGUAGAAUUCACAGAGGAAGGCUCCCUCCCACCUUGCUUCCAGUGAUGCUUAUGAGGCCAGGAAGAAGCGUCUAACCCCUCCUGACACCACUACACCUACUCCAGGCACCGUGCCCUGUGACCUGCGGCAGUCGGCCUGGAAAGCAGUCUCUGCUGCGGUUGGUUCUGCAUUAGAUGCUUCCGUGCAGCUCUGCACCGGCCACCCAAUAGAUGACUGUUUACUGUGGUGUCUAUGUCUGACUUGCCCAUAACUGUGUAUAUCCAACAAACUGCUUCCAGUGAAGAAUUUUGUAUAUAAUGGCAAAUUUCCUUGAGUGUGGUAACCAGAGAGUGACCUUUACC